rnacentral:rRNA from 1 species
UACGUAGGGUGCAAGCGUUUAAUCGGAAUUACUGGGCGUAAAGUGUGCGCAGGUGGCCGCGCAAGUCGAGUGUGAAAUCCCCGAGCUUAACUUGGGAAUUGCGCUCGAAACUACGAUGCUCGAGUGUGGCAGAGGAAGGUGGAAUUCCACGUGUAGCGGUGAAAUGCGUAGAGAUGUGGAGGAACACCGAUGGCGAAGGCAGCCUUCUGGGCCAACACUGACGCUCAUGCACGAAAGCGUGGGGAGCAAACAGG